rnacentral:rRNA from 1 species
CAGUCGCCGCGGGAAUACGUAGGGUGCAAGCGUUAAUCGGAAUUACUGGGCGUAAAGCGUGCGCAGGCGGUUAUAUAAGUCAGAUGUGAAAUCCCCGGGCUCAACCUGGGACCUGCAUAUGUGACUGUAUAGCUAGAGUACGGUAGAGGGGGAUGGAAUUCCGCGUGUAGCAGUGAAAUACGUAGAUAUGCGGAGGAACACCGAUGGCGAAGGCAAUCCCCUGGACCUGUACUGACGCUCAUGCACGAAAGCGUGGGGAGCAAACAGGAUUAGAUACCCCUGUAGUCCCUGUCUCUUAUAC